AGCGGGGCUGCUACGCCAGCUUCCCCGGGCAGGGACCAUGAGCCAGGGCACCCGGCGCCAUCUCAGGAACCCCAGUGCCCACAAGAGCGGGCCGUGACCGUCCAAGGCACAAUCCCCCACAUCCAAGGCAGGCCGCUGCACCUGUACACAAACGUCCUCUCAGAGAACCUCGCGGUGCUCUCUAUACAAACCGAGUCUCUGGAGGAGCUCAACAGCAGCUGCCUGGCCCGCACUGGGAAGACCGUGGCCCAGCUACGACAAGCUACUCUCCAGCAGUGGGAGUGCAGCCCAGCGCACGGUGAGGCCCGGCAACACAAGGGCAAGGGAGGACGUUCGACCUUGGCAGCGUCAGGAGCAAUCAACGCCCGACCCUACGAGGUGAGUGCGGAGGACGGGCUGGGGCAGCACGGUCCGGGAAACGGCUGGCAUCUCCCAGCAUUGCCUUUAGCAGGCCCCGUUGCCUUCUAACCUUCCCCAGCCCACGCUGGGGCCAGCCGCAGCACCCUGCCGCCCCGCCUCAAUGUCCCCCGCGUCCCUGGCCCAGCACCGGGCCCUGCCUGCUCUCCAGGAGCCACUUCCCAGCAGGAAACACAGCUCCCUCCACAAACCUCCCUCUCCCCUUCCAGAUCUUCUGCAGAAACUCCUUCCACAACCUGCAGAAACCCGAGGUCACCCGAGUGGAGCUCCUGAAGGACGCGAGCACCAAGGAGGACCUGGUGGAGCGGCUGAUUGCCCACGCCCCCAGGAAGCAGCCCAAGGGCGCAGCAAGGAUGACAGCCCUGGGAGCGCACAGCGGUCAGCAAGGGGAAAACACAGGCAAGGAACAACGGAAGGCAGGUACCCUGAGCACCAGGCAGGACCUGGCAGAGCAGCCGGUCGCCCACGCCCCCACGACGGAGCAGGAGCGGGCAGCAAGGCAGACAGCCCGGAGAGCAUGCAGGGCUAGGCAAGGGAAAACGGCAGAGAAGACAGACAGGAAGAAAGACCCUAAGAACAGGGCUGUAAACGUGGGGCAGCGGCAGGAGCCCAUGGCUCCCCUUCCUCCCACACCCAUCUCUGCCCAUCCCAACACCCCGCCUCCCAGGCGACGGCCCUCGCUCCUCAGCAGGGCGCUGCGGGCUCUGCGCGCAGCUUUCUGCUGUGCCGCAGGCUAGCAGCAGGGACUGCGCGAGCCUGCAAGGGCCAGGCGCCUCCCCUCAGCUCGCGGCUGG
rnacentral:lncRNA from 1 species